rnacentral:rRNA from 1 species
AGUGAACGCUGGCGGUAGGCCUAACACAUGCAAGUCGAACGGCAGCACAGUAAGAGCUUGCUCUUACGGGUGGCGGGUGGCGGACGGGUGAGGAAUACAUCGGAAUCUACUUUUUCGUGGGGGAUAACGUAGGGAAACUUACGCUAAUACCGCAUACGACCUACGGGUGAAAGCAGGGGAUCUUCGGACCUUGCGCGAUUGAAUGAGCCGAUGUCGGAUUAGCUAGUUGGCGGGGUAAAGGCCCACCAAGGCGACGAUCCGUAGCUGGUCUGAGAGGAUGAUCAGCCACACUGGAACUGAGGCACGGUCCAGACUCCUGCGGGAGGCAGCAGUGGGGAAUAUUGGACAAUGGGCGCAAGCCUGAUCCAGCCAUACCGCGUGGGUGAAGAAGGCCUUCGGGUUGUAAAGCCCUUUUGUUGGGAAAGAAAAGCAGCAGGUUAAUACCCCGCUGUUCUGACGGUACCCAAAGAAUAAGCACCGGCUAACUUCGUG